UCUUAAAGCAGAUACAUUUAAGCAAUUCUAACACACACAGACUUGGAGAGACCUACAAAUUAAUGCCUGGAAGCCAGCCUGCCUGCUUACACUGUGGAGCCCUGCAGGGUCUCUGCAGUGCAUCUGUGUCUAUGGCUUCUGAGGAGGAUGACUGA
rnacentral:lncRNA from 1 species